ensembl:lncRNA
GUCUGUUUCUCUCUUAUUCCGAGGUCACCGUGGCCACCAGAUCCAGUCUGUAUCCAAGUCAGAUGGUCACUGCAGUCACCCGGAUCCAGGACGUAUCCAGCCCAGAUGGUGGAUUAGCACCUAGAAAGGACCUCUACAGCCCUGAAAGACAGCGGAGACCAGGACUAGAGCCCCAGAGACAGAUCCCCUGUAAAGACCUUGUCUCAGACGACCACCGGGACAAGACCACAGGAACAGAUGAUUCUUCUGCACAACCUGACUUUGCUGCAGCCUGGAAUUGAACUGCUGGUUUCGUCUGGUCAGAGGAGAACUGGCCCCCCAACUGAGCCUGCCAGAGGCGACAGCGGCAAGGAACCAAAACUCCAUCAGUGACAGAAUGGAGAAAAAAACCUUGGGAGAA